CUCUGUGCAGCUGACUCACACUGGAACCCUAGGUAGACAAGGUAUCCACACCACUGCCUGCCCGUUCUCCUGCCCCAGCCUGCAACCACUGGAGCCAGAAAGACUCGUGAGGGUCCUGGUUGCCUUCUACCACUCAGCUCAACACUUGGUUAGAAAGUUGGGCUUUUUUUCCCGGCUAAAGGGCCUUCUCAAGGAGUCCCCUGUGUCCUUCUUCCCCAGCAGCAGCCAGCCCAUCAAAUUGUGGGCUGCGUCCUUCCACCCCUGUUUGGUUGCAGGAGGAAGCCAGCUGCCUCGAUACCUUUUUCUCACCAAGCAGGACCCUUCAGGGCCAACCACAGGCUAUCCUGCAGGAAAUAUUUCCAAGAGAGUCAGGUAUCACUGACACCUUCAUGAUAAACCCCUUAAACACAGAAUCAAAGACUCACCUUUAGACGUUUCCAUUGAAGUUGUUUUCAAGGAAAAAUAUGAAGAGGCAAACUCUGCUCUCCCUGACAAUUGUAUAAAUCUGGUGCAACUCUACUGAAGUCAAGAGCUAAAACCAAAUAAGGCCUGGAAAUUUUAUCUUCUGGCUCAGAAAACAAGAGUCAACAAAGGGCCUGAUUCAUCAUCGAGGAAAGCCAAGUCAACACCAGAGAUGAAGUAAACUAUUUCAUAGACUUGCCAAUUAACAUUGGUUGCCUCCUGUCCUAAGUGCUGUACAAACAUAGUGGAAGAAACAGUCCAUUCCCUGAAGGUCUUCCCUGAUGAUCUAAACCCAGAAGGAGCUGAUGGAGAUGUACUAAAACAGGUCUUGCAGGAUUUACUUUGAGGGAAAUGUUAUCAGGUGUUCGAUGGAGGAAGAAAGACGAGCAUACUAGAGAUUCCUGGAGACAGGUAAUAUGGUCGAUCGAUCUUACAACUGGAGCAGACUCUUCCAUAGUGACAGACAGAGUGAUCUUACGUGUCCGCUAGACAGAAGGAAGACCAGUGAGUCAAAUCAUGUCCAGCUUUCCCUCCCAUGGCAAUACUAAUUUUCUCUCCUUCCCUAAGGAUCUCUAAUCCAUCCCAGCUGCCUCUGCCUUUUAAAUCCCUCUUCAAAAUCCACUUUUUACUGCAAUGCUUGAAGAAAACACUCAUCUCACCUGACUUUGCCUUUUAACAUAUAAAUCUGAUAAGAAUCUCAGGCCUAUCUGUGUGACCUGUACUCUAAAGCGGAUUAUGUUAUUGACAGCUCAAAUUUGGUCUCCCCCAGGACCACUGCACAAGCAAACAGCCAUUAUACGUACGUAAAUGUACAUAUGUAUACGCCUGUGUUCAUUCUGAAGUCCACCCUGGGAAGCAAAAAUCAUUUGGAAACUUCCAGUGUUUUAUUACGAAAAAUGAACCGGUUUGUUGAGUGGAAUCAAAUGCAGAGAAAGGUCAGGUGAACUGAUGGUGCUGAAGUGAUUGCUGUGGGGUGCAGUGGCCGAGGAAGAAUAUUGGCCAAAGUGAACAGCAAACUCAAUUCUGGAGGCUUAGCAUGGAUGUAUUUAAGCAUGGGGUGCAUAUACUAUCUGUAGACUCAUAUAUCACACUGGAAUGAGCAGGAUGCAGACAGAUAUUUGAAAUACAGAUUUGAUAACUACAGUAAUGAAAGAUGAGUAACCCUAAAAUCCCCAAAUAUAAAAGGACAUUUAUCAUGGCUGCAGCAGGAAGUGAACCACAAGAAUGCAGAUAGAAUUAUGCACAGUGAUGAAUUUCAUAUGGUAGGAAAACGUGGGAGCUUAGUACCCCGUCAGUGUGUGAAAACAUACAUUCCUUAAAGGUCCAUUUCUUCUAUGUACUCUACAGGUCUGCUGCCACUCCAUUGUUUUACAGUCACAGCAUGGCACAAACGGGAAGCUCGCGUGUUCCUGUUUCAUUGAACUUUCUCCUUUGUCCACAGUCUGCAGCAGAUUUGGCAGUGGUGGGUUUUAGCAGCCAAGAUUCUCCAGACAAGAGAAGGAAUGACGGGGGGAGCAACAAAAAGCUAAUUCUGGAGCUGACUUUAACAAAGAGAAAGGCUAAAAAGCUCCAAUCAUUAAAGUAAAAAUAUUUAGAAGCGUUUCCAAAGGAUACAUUUAAUUUCUGAUUCAGAACAAGACUAAUGUGCCGUUUAACCUACAAGUUUAUAUGACACUUAAAUGAUACGCAGUAGGAACUCUCUCCAAGAGAUACAAAGCUCUAAAACUUGCAGUGUGAAUUGAAUGGUACAUGAAGACAUGCAUAUUUUUGAGGUAAACAUAUUAUUGGUGUUCUCAGUACCUUGCUUUUAAAGACGCAAAAUCAAUACCUAUUUUAGGCAACUAUUUAGUCACUCAUACUAGUGCUUUUACAAUAAUGCAGAUAUUUAAAGAAUCAUAAGAUAACACCUGCAAUUUGUCUAGAAGUACUAAAAGAAAAUAAUGUAUUGUUAAACAAAAUGAUCGGUGUCUGAGGUCUUUGACAACUGUAAAAACAGCACCCUUUCACAGGCAGCACUAUUAAAUAAUUUUUAAUUUGCAGUAAUAGUGGGGUUCAGGUUCUCUAACGAUCCUGUGAAAACUUCCACAAAAAUAUUGAGAGAACAUUUAUUUUGUGGCAAUACUAAUCCUAGGUGACAGACAGUGUUCUCAAGGCUUUUUUUGUUGACAAAGACAACAAUAAUACUUCCUCAUAAAUAGCUGUAUAAUGACUACAAUCUGCAAAAUCCAAAGUCAUUAAAAAAAUCUACAUUCAGAGAACACAGUCCUCGCUCUUUCUGAAAGACAGUUUCCUUAUUAUGACUUUUUCCAUUUUGAUUGAGCCAGAUGCCAACAAAUUUCUUUUGGGGUCUGUUCUUUAAAAACUGAGAGCAAAUUAUUAGCAGAAGCCAGCAGCAAUAUAACAACAGAGUGCAGUUUGCUGUAACAAACUUGAGAAAUAAUUACCAGACCCCUUAUGCAUCUUUACUUUCUCCAUGGUUUUGCUACUGAAGAGCAGGAUCAUCAUUUCCAUGCAGAUGCCAGGGCACACAGCUCCUUACUCGUAACAGGACUUGGUUCAGCACAGCUGUGAUGGGGAGCGUGGAUUCACAUCAUCUUAAUAUGCCAACCGGCAAUCCCUGGGACUGCAGAAGACUGGCACAGCCUCUGAAUUAAUCUCGAAUAGCAUCAUUUUGCCCUCAGGACAUCAAAUACUGCUGACCUCUCAUAAGUCUGACCCACGUCUUGUGAUCAGGGCCAAGAAAUAAACAUCAGUCUCAAAUUAGCAUUCUUCAGUGUCACAACCCCAUUAGAACUGGCGUAAACAAAAGCAAGAAGCAAUACUUUCCCCUUCCCACCUCCUGGCUUCCUCCUAGGAUGGCUGUGGCCAUAAAACAAAGAUCAUUAAAGAGGACUUUUAUAUUAAUGAUUGAGUGUAUGUUACAGUAAUCAGAUAAUGGCUAUAUCAGCUUUCAUUAGAAGUCUCAAGAAACCCAUCUUUGCUAUGCAUGAUAAACUAAUUUCUUCUAAAUACUUUGACAGCAUUGUUGAUUAAAGCCUUA